GGGCGAUUAGCUCAGUUGGCAGAGCAGACGGCUCUUAACCGUAAGGUCCUGGGUUCGACCCCCAGAUCGCCCACCA
rnacentral:tRNA from 1 species